rnacentral:ribozyme from 1 species
GAAGAAGAGGACAUGAUUUGUUUGAUUUGUUUUUUAAUUUGUUUUUUAUUUGUUUUUUCUCGAGUCUUUUACUUGA